rnacentral:lncRNA from 7 species
CCAAACAUUAACUGAAUGAAAGCGGUUAGCCCGCGUUGUUCUGCUUGGGGGGCUCCGGCGAAGCAAAUGGACUUUAAGAACAGCGACUGUCAAUAAAGGGCUUUUGGUGGAAAGGAAGAAGUAUUCUAAGAUGUUGUCUCAUCAAACUCAAAACAUUUUGCAAGGGGGAAUACAGAGUCCAACAUUAUUUAAAUCCUAAUCAGAGCUUCAGUCGAGUUAUCUCAAUAAAUAGAUGCCCAAAGGCACAAGAACUGGCUCUUCCUGCAGAACUGCAAAUCAGGAAACCCCAGAAUGAGAAAGAGGAAACCAAGAAAACUUGUGAUGAGAUCAGGAGCUCAGGUGCUCAGGUGGGUCUAGGGUUUGAACAUAUAGGGGUUAAAUAAGCUAGCUUUAGAAACUAGGGAAGGAGAACAAUGUCUCAACAUAUCAUGGUCAGCUGUGCAAACACCAAGAAAGGAACAAUACAAAAUGAAUGGCUUUGACCGGUUUGAAUGCAUCACAAGAAGGUCAGACCAAGGAAGACGUCGAGCCUUUGCGAGGAAGACUUCUGAUUUCAUCCCCACAACCACCAGAGGGAGACCCCAACUAUGGACAACACAUGUGCCAGGGGAGGGGCAGUAUGUAAACAAAUUUCCAGAAGGAUAAUGAAUAUGUAGAUGGGUUCCAAGAAUUCUGCUGAAUAUAUAUGGACUUGGCUUACAAAUUUGUAGCAUUUUUGCUUGCUGGUGUGCAAGUUUGCUGGAGUGAUCCCCCUUGCACCCGGCCGGCCGAAUAAACAUACCUGCUUUAUAACCUAACCGGGUUAUAGAGUUUGAUUCCGCACGUCAGUAAGACUGCACUGUGAUAGGUUCCUAGGAGUCAGACUCAGCAUUGACUGAUGGACAUUAUUUCUGAUGGUGUGAGGUUUUGCUGUGAAACUCUAUAUUGUGAAGUGUUGCUAUAAACUCUUAAAUUAUGGACAUUUGUUGGAAAAAAAUAUCCAGCUGAAGUUAUUAUAUAAAGAUGCAAUCUUUUGCUUAACAAUUUUCUUAACCGCAAGAGGUUGAUUAAAAAUUAAUGCUUGCC